rnacentral:rRNA from 1 species
GCAUAUCAAUAAGCGGAGGAAAAGAAACCAACAGGGAUUGCCCUAGUAACGGCGAGUGAAGCGGCAACAGCUCAAAUUUGAAAUCUGGCUCCGGCCCGAGUUGUAAUUUGCAGAGGAAGCUUCUGGUGAUAUACUGUCUAAGUCCCCUGGAACGGGGCGCCACAGUGGGUGAGAGCCCCAUAUGACAGCUGUAGAUCCUGUGUGAAGCUCCUUCGACGAGUCGAGUAGUUUGGGAAUGCUGCUCAAAAUGGGAGGUAAAUUCCUUCUAAAGCUAAAUAUUGGCCAGAGACCGAUAGCGCACAAGUAGAGUGAUCGAAAGAUGAAAAGCACUUUGAAAAGAGAGUUAAACAGCACGUGAAAUUGUUGAAAGGGAAGCGCUUGUGACCAGACUUGCGCUGGGCUGAUCAUCCGGUGUUCUCACCGGUGCACUCGGCCCAGCUCAGGCCAGCAUCGGUUUUGGUGGGGGGAUAAAGGCGCUGGGAACGUAGCUCCCCCGGGAGUGUUAUAGCCCAGCGUGCAAUACCCCCGCUGGGACCGAGGUUCGCGCAUCUGCAAGGAUG